CCUACGGGUGCUGCAGUGAGGAAUAUUGGUCAAUGGGCGCGAACCUGAACCAGCCAAGUCGCGUGAGGGAAGACGGGCCUAUGGAUUGUAAACCUCUUUUGUCGGGGAGCAAAAGACGCCACGCGUGGCGCUCCGAGAGUACCCGAAGAAAAAGCAUCGGCUAACUCCUUGCCCGCAGCCGCGGUAAUACGGAGGAUGCGAGCGUUAUCCGGAUUUAUUGGGUUUAAAGGGUGCGCAGGCGGAGGUGCAAGUCAGCGGUCAAAUUGCGGGGCUCAACCCCGUACUGCCGUUGAAACUGGAUGCCUUGAGUGCGCGAGAAGUAUGCGGAAUGCGUGGUGUAGCGGUGAAAUGCAUAGAGAUCGCGCAGAACUCCGAUUGCGAAGGCAGCAGACCGGCGCGAAACUGACGCUCAGGCACGAAAGCGUGGGUAUCGAACAGGAUUAGAUACCCUUGUAGUC
rnacentral:rRNA from 1 species